rnacentral:rRNA from 1 species
UACAGAGGGUGCGAGCGUUGUCCGGAAUUACUGGGCGUAAAGGGCGCGUAGGCGGCUUGGUAAGUCGGGGGUGAAAGUCAGCGGCUCAACCGCUGGACUGCCUUCGAGACUGCCUGGCUUGAGCAUGGUAGAGGCUGGCGGAAUUCCCGGUGUAGCGGUGGAAUGCGUAGAUAUCAGGAGGAACGCCGGAGGCGAAAGCGAGUGACUGGCGCGUUCCUGACGCUGAGGUGCGAAAGCUAGGGGAGCAAACAGG